CACGAGUGUAACCAUUGGUCAAGGUGUUGUACACAGCACCUCACUCACCAGCUACACACCUCCACACCAUAUACAUAUCCCACACUAUAUAUACAUCCACAGGUUGUGUGAACAGGUGACGUGUCCUCAUUGACCACUCCCUGGUGAAUCCGUCUUGAAACCUAAUUAACCAUCGCGACCCACGACCUGCUACGUACACAUAUGUUUAAUAAGUAUUUACAAGUGGGUUGUGUCCACGCAGCUUAUCAGCAGCAGACAAAGCAGCAUCAGCAGACAAAGCAGCAGCAAUCAUCAGCAGCAGCAGACACAGCAGACACAGCAGCAGCAGACACACCAGCAGCAACAACAGUAAUAAGAACAGGACCAGCAGCAUUAUUGUAGUCUCUUUAUUAUCAGGUGACUGACCUCUCUCUUUCUCUUUCUCAUUCUGUGCGAGUAAUAGGAAGAGGGUUUAGUUUUCCUGGAUUUUUAUAAUCAUGGCGAGAACUAAACCUGAAAGUGUCAAAAGAAUGAGAAGUAAUGAUGUUUGAUGGAGGAAAACGACCAGCUUCACCAAGACCCCAAAACGCUUCCCCAUUAUCAAACCUUCCCUCCCUCCGUCCAUUGAGAUUUGUAGAUAUAGUAUUUUAAACCACCCACAAGACAUUGUCGUCAUCACCUAUGUGGACCAGAGGAUAUACCAUUGAAUACUUAGUUACAAAACCAUGGAAAUGCGGAAUAAGGAGAGUCUUCUGCUUUACGAUCCGUGUAUCAUACACAUAAAUGAUACAUGAUAAUCCUUAAUCUAAAGUCCUCUUCUGUCUGUCUUUCCCAUGAGCUCCCAUAUAAAAGCCUACAUGCCCUGGCAUUAUCUCUUCCACUCACAACCUUCUUCUCACCAACCUACUCCUCCACUAUCCCCACUUCCCGGCUCGCCCUACAAAGGUCUUACCUAACUCUCCUGAUCAUGAAGGCAUAUAUCACGAAUUUCAAAAAUGACAGACGAUUUAUUUCUCGCCUGAUUACUACUGCUUGGCUGCUUCUAUACACACGCUUUAUAAACACGUGAAAAAACGACACUUCAAGCCAUCUGUGAAAAAAUAUGAUGACUUUUAAGUAUAUAGAUCAGCGAGACGACUUUCACAGUGAUGAAAGCUUCUUGAAGGCAGACUGUUUGCAUCUGUAUGCCAUGGGAAGUGCAAGACAGGGACGAACGGUGUAUAGAUUGCAAAACAGAAUUAGUUGGCUGAGAGGCCAAGAAGAGAGGAGAAAGAGCAGUGGUGAGACGUAAGCUUGAGAAAGUGACGCUUGGGAGUUAUAUCAAACGAAAACACAACUCUUGAAGCAAUUUUACCACA